rnacentral:rRNA from 1 species
UUUUAUGGAGAGUUUGAUCCUGGCUCAGGAUGAACGCUGGCGGCGUGCCUAAUACAUGCAAGUCGAGCGAACGGACGAGAAGCUUGCUUCUCUGAUGUUAGCGGCGGACGGGUGAGUAACACGUGGAUAACCUACCUAUAAGACUGGGAUAACUUCGGGAAACCGGAGCUAAUACCGGAUAAUAUUUUGAACCGCAUGGUUCAAAAGUAAAAGACGGUCUUGCUGUCACUUAUAGAUGGAUCCGCGCUGCAUUAGCUAGUUGGUAAGGUAACGGCUUACCAAGGCAACGAUGCAUAGCCGACCUGAGAGGGUGAUCGGCCACACUGGAACUGAGACACGGUCCAGA